UACGUAGGGGGCAAGCGUUGUCCGGAAUCAUCGGGCGUAAAGAGCUCGUAGGCGGUUUGUCGCGUCUGCCGUGAAAGUCCGGGGCUCAACUCCGGAUCUGCGGUGGGUACGGGCAGACUAGAGUGAUGUAGGGGAGACUGGAAUUCCUGGUGUAGCGGUGAAAUGCGCAGAUAUCAGGAGGAACACCGAUGGCGAAGGCAGGUCUCUGGGCAUUAACUGACGCUGAGGAGCGAAAGCAUGGGGAGCGAACAGG
rnacentral:rRNA from 1 species